rnacentral:miRNA from 1 species
AGAGCUUAGCCGAUUGGUGAACA